rnacentral:lncRNA from 1 species
GUUCCUCAUUGUUAUCAUUUAUCUUAACACACUCUUCGCUUGAAAGAGGUUCAGCCUGUUCAACCGUCGCUUCUAUGUCCAGACCAUUACAUGUUCUAAGUGAAGGCUCAUCUUCAUCGUCUUUUCUCAAUCUCUUCUUUCUUUGAUGCUGGUCACUGCUAUCAAACGUCUUCAAACAGCCAUGCUGGACCUCCACUGAACCAAUUUGUAGAUCUUGAACAUGAGACCUAUCUCCUUCAUUCUGUAUCAGAAGCUCCACAUCCUCCGUGCUAAUUUUUAAGCUUGGUGCCUUGGCAUUUUGCGGAGAGGAGUAGAUUUCAAUUCUUAACACAUCAACUUUGGUCAAUGAGGAACCUCGUGCUUUCGUUGCCUUCUUCAGAGUAGCAUAGUCACUUCCUUUGACCAAGAUUGGAUGUUUCUUCGACUGACACAAACUUUCAAACUUCGGCUUGCAAUCCUCACAAAA